GUCGAGCGAACAGAUAAGGAGCUUGCUCCUUUGACGUUAGCGGCGGACGGGUGAGUAACACGUGGGUAACCUACCUAUAAGACUGGAAUAACUCCGGGAAACCGGGGCUAAUGCCGGAUAACAUAUAGAACCGCAUGGUUCUAUAGUGAAAGAUGGUUUUGCUAUCACUUAUAGAUGGACCCGCGCCGUAUUAGCUAGUUGGUAAGGUAAUGGCUUACCAAGGCGACGAUACGUAGCCGACCUGAGAGGGUGAUCGGCCACACUGGAACUGAGACACGGUCCAGACUCCUACGGGAGGCAGCAGUAGGGAAUCUUCCGCAAUGGGCGAAAGCCUGACGGAGCAACGCCGCGUGAGUGAUGAAGGGUUUCGGCUCGUAAAACUCUGUUAUUAGGGAAGAACAUAUGUGUAAGUAACUGUGCACAUCUUGACGGUACCUAAUCAGAAAGCCACGGCUAACUACGUGCCAGCAGCCGCGGUAAUACGUAGGUGGCAAGCGUUAUCCGGAAUUAUUGGGCGUAAAGCGCGCGUAGGCGGUUUCUUAAGUCUGAUGUGAAAGCCCACGGCUCAACCGUGGAGGGUCAUUGGAAACUGGGAAACUUGAGUGCAGAAGAGGAAAGUGGAAUUCCAUGUGUAGCGGUGAAAUGCGCAGAGAUAUGGAGGAACACCAGUGGCGAAGGCGACUUUCUGGUCUGUAACUGACGCUGAUGUGCGAAAGCGUGGGGAUCAAACAGGAUUAGAUACCCUGGUAGUCCACGCCGUAAACGAUGAGUGCUAAGUGUUAGGGGGUUUCCCGCCCCUUAGUGCUGCAGCUAACGCAUUAAGCACUCCGCCUGGGGAGUACGACCGCAAGGUUGAAACUCAAAGGAAUU
rnacentral:rRNA from 1 species